UUUUGUAUAAUGGGUCAGCGACUUAUAUUCUGUAGCAAGGUUAACCGAAUAGGGGAGCCGAAGGGAAACCGAGUCUUAACUGGGCGUUAAGUUGCAGGGUAUAGACCCGAAACCCGGUGAUCUAGCCAUGGGCAGGUUGAAGGUUGGGUAACACUAACUGGAGGACCGAACCGACUAAUGUUGAAAAAUUAGCGGAUGACUUGUGGCUGGGGGUGAAAGGCCAAUCAAACCGGGAGAUAGCUGGUUCUCCCCGAAAGCUAUUUAGGUAGCGCCUCGUGAAUUCAUCUCCGGGGGUAGAGCACUGUUUCGGCAAGGGGGUCAUCCCGACUUACCAACCCGAUGCAAACUGCGAAUACCGGAGAAUGUUAUCACGGGAGACACACGGCGGGUGCUAACGUCCGUCGUGAAGAGGGAAACAACCCAGACCGCCAGCUAAGGUCCCAAAGUCAUGGUUAAGUGGGAAACGAUGUGGGAAGGCCCAGACAGCCAGGAUGUUGGCUUAGAAGCAGCCAUCAUUUAAAGAAAGCGUAAUAGCUCACUGGUCGAGUCGGCCUGCGCGGAAGAUGUAACGGGGCUAAACCAUGCACCGAAGCUGCGGCAGCGACACUAUGUGUUGUUGGGUAGGGGAGCGUUCUGUAAGCCUGUGAAGGUGUACUGUGAGGUAUGCUGGAGGUAUCAGAAGUGCGAAUGCUGACAUAAGUAACGAUAAAGCGGGUGAAAAGCCCGCUCGCCGGAAGACCAAGGGUUCCUGUCCAACGUUAAUCGGGGCAGGGUGAGUCGACCCCUAAGGCGAGGCCGAAAGGCGUAGUCGAUGGGAAACAGGUUAAUAUUCCUGUACUUGGUGUUACUGCGAAGGGGGGACGGAGAAGGCUAUGUUGGCCGGGCGACGGUUGUCCCGGUUUAAGCGUGUAGGCUGGUUUUCCAGGCAAAUCCGGAAAAUCAAGGCUGAGGCGUGAUGACGAGGCACUACGGUGCUGAAGCAACAAAUGCCCUGCUUCCAGGAAAAGCCUCUAAGCAUCAGGUAACAUCAAAUCGUACCCCAAACCGACACAGGUGGUCAGGUAGAGAAUACCAAGGCGCUUGAGAGAACUCGGGUGAAGGAACUAGGCAAAAUGGUGCCGUAACUUCGGGAGAAGGCACGCUGAUAUGUAGGUGAAGCGACUUGCUCGUGGAGCUGAAAUCAGUCGAAGAUACCAGCUGGCUGCAACUGUUUAUUAAAAACACAGCACUGUGCAAACACGAAAGUGGACGUAUACGGUGUGACGCCUGCCCGGUGCCGGAAGGUUAAUUGAUGGGGUUAGCGGUAACGCGAAGCUCUUGAUCGAAGCCCCGGUAAACGGCGGCCGUAACUAUAACGGUCCUAAGGUAGCGAAAUUCCUUGUCGGGUAAGUUCCGACCUGCACGAAUGGCGUAAUGAUGGCCAGGCUGUCUCCACCCGAGACUCAGUGAAAUUGAACUCGCUGUGAAGAUGCAGUGUACCCGCGGCAAGACGGAAAGACCCCGUGAACCUUUACUAUAGCUUGACACUGAACAUUGAGCCUUGAUGUGUAGGAUAGGUGGGAGGCUUUGAAGUGUGGACGCCAGUCUGCAUGGAGCCGGCCUUGAAAUACCACCCUUUAAUGUUUGAUGUUCUAACGUUGGCCCCUGAUCGGGGUUGCGGACAGUGUCUGGUGGGUAGUUUGACUGGGGCGGUCUCCUCCUAAAGAGUAACGGAGGAGCACGAAGGUUGGCUAAUCCUGGUCGGACAUCAGGAGGUUAGUGCAAUGGCAUAAGCCAGCUUGACUGCGAGCGUGACGGCGCGAGCAGGUGCGAAAGCAGGUCAUAGUGAUCCGGUGGUUCUGAAUGGAAGGGCCAUCGCUCAACGGAUAAAAGGUACUCCGGGGAUAACAGGCUGAUACCGCCCAAGAGUUCAUAUCGACGGCGGUGUUUGGCACCUCGAUGUCGGCUCAUCACAUCCUGGGGCUGAAGUAGGUCCCAAGGGUAUGGCUGUUCGCCAUUUAAAGUGGUACGCGAGCUGGGUUUAGAACGUCGUGAGACAGUUCGGUCCCUAUCUGCCGUGGGCGCUGGAGAACUGAGGGGGGCUGCUCCUAGUACGAGAGGACCGGAGUGGACGCAUCACUGGUGUUCGGGUUGUCAUGCCAAUGGCACUGCCCGGUAGCUAAAUGCGGAAGAGAUAAGUGCUGAAAGCAUCUAAGCACGAAACUUGCCCCGAGAUGAGUUCUCCCUGAGACUUAGAGUCUCCUGAAGGAACGUUGAAGACGACGACGUUGAUAGGCCGGGUGUGUAAGCGCAGCGAUGCGUUGAGCUAACCGGUACUAAUGAACCGUGAGGCUUAACCUU
rnacentral:rRNA from 1 species